rnacentral:rRNA from 1 species
GACGAACGCUGGCGGCGUGCUUAACACAUGCAAGUCGAACGGAAAGGCCCUGCUUUUGUGGGGUGCUCGAGUGGCGAACGGGUGAGUAACACGUGAGUAACCUGCCCUUGACUUUGGGAUAACUUCAGGAAACUGGGGCUAAUACCGGAUAGGAGCUCCUGCUGCAUGGUGGGGGUUGGAAAGUUUCGGCGGUUGGGGAUGGACUCGCGGCUUAUCAGCUUGUUGGUGGGGGAGUGGCUUACCAAGGCUUUGGCGGGUAGCCGGCCUGAGAGGGUGACCGGCGACAUUGAGACUGAGAUACGGCCCAGACUCCUACGGGAGGCAGCAGUGGGGAAUAUUGCACAAUGGGCGGAAGCCGGAUGCAGCAAGGCCGCGUGCGGGAUGACGGCCUUCGGGUUGUAGACCGCUUUCAGCAGGGACGAAGCUUUUUGUGACGGUACCUGCAGAAGAAGCACCGGCUAACUACGUG